CUGCUGAAAUGCUAGUCUGCAGAAGCAGGCAACACUAUCAAAUUGCGGGAACACCCUAAAGACCUCAACACCAAGCGUCAUGGGAAACCAUGGCGUGGCCGAGCUAAUAGCCCUGGGUAUGGUAACAGCUUGAGGUAUGAAGCCUUCGCAAGGAGGCCGAAAUGGGCAAUCCGCAGCCAAGUCCUAACGUGCUCGAAACCGAGUGCCAUGGAUGCUGUUCACAGGCCAAAUGGUAGUGGGUGACUCUUGCGAGUUGCUUAAGAUAUGGUCGGGCCCCUUCAGAAAUGUGGGGGAUAAGCUUACGCUUCUCCAAACCGUUCCGUAGGUGAACCUGCGGAAGGAUCAUU
rnacentral:ncRNA from 1 species